ensembl:lncRNA
GUCAUGGUCUGUCGUGUUUUGGUGUGUUUCCCUGCGUUUCCCUCCUGUGUUGAUUACUGUUCCCUCCCCUAAUGUGUCUCAGCUGUUCCUCGUUGUGUUUGUUACUUAAGCCCUUGUCUUUCCUUUGUUCCUUGUGCUAUCAUUGUGGUUGGUCGUCCUGCGUGUUCCCUGGUGUCACCUGAGUUCCCUGGUUCCUUGCCUUAGCCUUUAGGCAUAAAUAAAGUGCUGUUCUCCCUAAACCGUCUGCGUCUGGGUCCUACCUGCCUGCCUGCACCCGCAACCGUAACAGAAUGAUAGCACCAACAUUGGACCCAGCGGCGAUCAAUUUAGCCGUGAGUUGGAGGAUUUAUUAUGGUUCAUUAUGAAAGCAAUGGAUUUUUGGGAGAACAUUCCCAGCAGGAAGGAGCAGGAGGCUAUCGUGGGGCGUACACGCAGGGCUGUCUCUUCAAGGCCCGAGUUGGAGGACGCCUUGCCCGAGUGGGCAGUUGAGCUGCUCAGCCCCACAGUCUUUUGGCCUGAGAGCUACAUGCUGGUGCCACCGGACUUUUGUGACCGGCCUAAACCUCCACGCUCCUACUCUCAGCCUCUGCCACCGGUUCCCCGCUACCAGCCUCUGCCCCCGGUUCCCCGCUACCAGCCUCUGUCCCCGGUCCCCAGCUACCAGCCUCUGUCCCCGGUCCCCAGCUACCAGCCUCUGUCCCCGGUCCUCCCCUACCGGCCUCUGCCCCCGGCCCCCCGCUACCAGCCUCUGCCCCCGGUCCCUAGCUACCAGCCUCCUCCCUUGCGGACAAUCAGAGUGGGGGUGGUGAAUCUGGGGUACCACCCGGUUCCUCCUGGCACUCCAGCACCCGCACUGACUCCGGUCCCCGAGCCCUGUCCGGUUCCUGAGCCCACUCCUCGCCUUCCAGAGGGGGACCGGCCUCUUCGCCGGCCUGAGGAGGUCCGCCCUCUGCUCCUGCCGGAGGGGGCCCGCCCUCCAGACCGUCCAGGGGAGGCACGCCCUCCGCUCCUGCCUGUGGGGGCCCUCCUCCACUCCUUCCCGAGGGGGGUUCCUCUUCAAGGCCUUCCAGAGGGGUCCCGCCUUACAAACCUUUUGGAAGGGGCACGCCCUCUUCCUCCAGAGGGGACCAGCCCUCUACCUGGCCUUCCUGAGGGGUCCCACCUUCCCGAGGGUGUCCGCCCUCUACCUCGCCUACCUCCAGAGGGGACCAGCCCUCUACCUGGCCUUCCUACAGAGGGGGUCCGCCCUCUACCUGGCCUUCCUCCAGAGGGGACCCGCCCUCUACCUGGCCUUCCUGCAGAGGGGACCCGCCCUCUUCCUGGCCUUCCACCAGAGGGGACCCGCCCUCUACCUGGCCUUCCACCAGAGGGGAUCCGCCCUCUACCUCUCCUUCCUCCAGAGCGGACCCGCCCUCUACCUCUCCUUCCUCCAGAGCGGACCCGCCCUCCACCUCGCCUUCCUCCUGAGGGGACCCGCCCUCUACCUCGCCUUCGCCGGCCUCCUGAAGGUUUCCGCCUUCGCCACUGCUGGCCUUCAGAGGGGUCUCCUUGCCGCUGCAGGCCUCCUGAGGGACUGAGCCCUCAUCGUCCUUGCCGCCGGCCUCUUGAAGGGUUCCGCCUUCACUCUGCCUCUGCUUGCCCCCCAGGCCGUCCGCCUGAGGCUCCCUGCCAUGCCCUGGGGCAGUUUUCUGGCCGCCCGCCUGACGUCCCUCCGCUCUGCCCAAGUCUAUUUUUUUUUGAUUCCCCCGUCCUGGCGCCCCUCCACCCACCCGUUUUGGGUUUGACUUUCUUCGUUUUUUGCUUGUCGUGGGUCACCUGGGAGUUGACCCUUAAGGGGGGGGGUACUGUCAUGGUCUGUCGUGUUUUGGUGUGUUUCCCUGCGUUUCCCUCCUGUGUUGAUUACUGUUCCCUCCCCUAAUGUGUCUCAGCUGUUCCUCGUUGUGUUUGUUACUUAAGCCCUUGUCUUUCCUUUGUUCCUUGUGCUAUCAUUGUAGUUGUUCAUCCUGCAUGUUCCCUGUUCCCACCUGAGUUCCCUGGUUCCUUACCUUAGCCUUUAGGCAUAAAUAAAGUGCUGUUCUCCC